GCCCUCAUCGUCUAGUGGACCAGGACAUCAGCCUUUCAAGCUGAGGACAGGGAUUCGAAUUCCCUUGAGGGCAC
rnacentral:tRNA from 1 species